rnacentral:misc_RNA from 1 species
GGGAGAUCAGCAACUUUGAGUAUCUAAUGCAGCUUAACACACUGGCCGGACGUAGUUACAAUGACAUUACUCAGUAUCCUGUGUUCCCCUGGGUCAUUUCUGAUUAUACUUCAACCGACUUGGAUUUCACUAAUCCAUCAUCUUACCGGGACCUCUCAAAGCCAGUUGGAGCAUUAAAUCCUGACCGAUUAAGGAAGUUUCAAGAGAGAUACUCUAGUUUUGAUGACCCUGUCAUCCCAAAGUUCCACUAUGGCUCACAUUACUCAAGUGCAGGAACAGUGUUAUAUUAUCUAAUCAGGCUGGAGCCCUUCACUACCCUAUCUAUUCAUCUCCAAGGUGGCAAAUUUGAUCAUGCAGACAGGAUGUUCUCAGAUAUUGCUGCCACUUGGAAAAGUGUUCUUGAGGAGAUGAGUGAUGUUAAAGAGUUGGUUCCGGAGCUAUUUUAUCUUCCAGAGAUGCUAACAAAUGAGAAUUCGAUUGAAUUCGGUACGACACAGUUGGGAGAAAAGCUGGACUCUGUGCGGC